ensembl:lncRNA
GCAGAUGGUAAAUCCACUUUUGAAUUCUUGUGAAUAAUCCUUUUAAAGUAUUUAAACGUGAAAAGAAAUCUUUAAAAAAUAAAAAAUGAGAUGCUUAUUGUGGGUCACUUACUAAUAGCGGCCCAUCGUGUUUUUCCUCUUUCCGCAAAAUACGUUUUUCUCAGCGAACGGCGUGCGGUCGGCACAGGUGCUGUUGAACUGGGUUUCUUUCUUUGCGAUUGCCGUCGUGCCACACAAAGGACAAAACACUGCUCCAUCGCACGCUUUACCUCCCCUCAGAGCGAGGUGCAGAGUCUGCCUCGGAAGUUUAAGAAGUCAUUUCCACUUUAGGGUUCGCUCCCUUUCGGACGGCUGGCGUGAUGACCAGCUGUCCGAAACGGCCACCAUCUGUGGCCUUACCGGGGAUGGGUUAGCAGAAAAAAACCGAGCUAAACGCCGCAGACAUAACUUCUCCAUGUGUCAUCUCUGAGCGCUCGCACACUGGCCUGUCAAUCUAAAUUUGUCCGAUUAUCCCUCGACUAAUGAACGCCUGGCAUCUGUACAUAUCAGGCCUGCAGUUGCCACUAUCAUUCAUUACCGCGAUAAGAGUCCCUUCCCAGCUGCGCCGUGGACAUGCAGAGAGGAGCCACGACAUGCUCUGUAAAGCUGUCUGUUACUCUGGGUUUGCUGUUACUUGGCUAAAGGGCUACCGUCGUGUCACAUGCGUUGACUUGUUUCUUUUUCGCCAGCCUGGAAGCUCCCAUCUGCUUAGACAGCAUGGUCUCGAAGGACGACUGUGGAGGUCAAGCUCAGUUCUGGAUUUGGAAGAGUAACAGACUCCAAAAUCAAAUUACUUGUCAACUGGGGAUCGCGGCAAGCCAGAGCCUAACCCGGCAGCGAAGGGAACAAGGCCGAAGCAGGAGGGGACGCACCCAGGGUGGGACGCCAGUCCGUCGCAAGGCACCCCAAGCAGGACUCGAACCCCAGACCCACCACAGAGCAGGCACCGGCUGAGCCCGUCGCACCACCAUGCCCCCACAUUAUGAAAUACAAGACAAAAAUAUAAAUAGUCACACUCAUUACCACAUCACUCAUACUUGUUAAACAUUAACAAAUUUUUUGUUGUGUUACUUGUACGUGACUCAGAAAUACUGACUCACUGACCGGGGUCAGAAAGAGUCAUUCAGUCUCGGCAACACUUGUUACUCACUGUAUUCUAACACUACAGAUGUGUGGAGAACAUGUACCUGACUUCAGACGUCCUUCAGAUAUGAGUUUCUUCAAGCCAUUAAGGUCUUGUACGUGAAUGUCUGCCAUAUGAUUACACAUUAUAGGCUACAAUAACAACCGUUCAUGCAUACAUGUAGCUCAAAUUCAAGUUUUAAUGUUGCAUUUUCACUGAUACAUUGCUCAUACUUGGAGUAGUGGUUGGCAUGGUAGUUAAGGACAUGCUGUAAUCUGAAACCUGUUGAUUCAAUAGCCUCAGGGCUGCUGAGGUUGUAUUCAGAAGACACCUACUUCAAUUGAAACUAUUAUGUACAGUACCAGUCAAAGGUUUGAGUACAUCUGGACAACCUGGGAAAUGCCUGUUUGGGAAGAACUGGAUAGAAGGCUGAAAAAGUGCCCAGCAAAUGUACUCAAACUAUUGAUUGCUGGUAUUUAUAAAGGCAAAUUUGUGCUCAGCAACACAUUAUAGCAGAGUUUAAAACAUUAAUACAGUCAGUAUAAUGAUGCUGCUAUGGCCUUAUGCAUGACUCGGGGUAUCGUAGACCACAGGCUUCCAAUGCAGAUUUAAGGCAAUACUGGGACCGCACAUCAAGAUGAUGCUACUCA